AAAAUCAAACCAGAAAAAAAAAAUAUCCAAACCAAACUCAAGCUGUGUAGAUAGAUGAGCAAAGAAACAGAGGUCCAUCCAUAGCAAACCACGAGAAACAACAGAGCAAGAAAGAUUUCCAAAAAUCAACCUGUGUAUAUCCCAAAUAAUUACAUCAGAGCAAGAAAGAUUGAUGGACGUAAGGUAACAUGGAAAUCCCUUCAUUUUCUCAUAGCCCAAAAGCUUGGUGCUUCAAUGGUGAACAAAAAGGAACCACCUUUGCACCUGUUUUAGGGAGAAUCUCAAUUGGGGUUUUCAGUUUUUGUGGUUUUGAUCAUUUGGGUUUUUGAAUUUUUUGAGUUUCUGAGCCAUAACCAUUCAGUGAUUCACAAUUCUAGCAUUGGAAUUGAGUUUGGAUCCCAUCAGAUCCAUCAUCGUUUACGAGUGAAACCAGAUCUGGUUCUUCCUCAUCCCUUCUCUUCCCGAUCCCGGCCAAACCACGAGCCAUCUGAAGGAACCACCACCACCAGCAUACUCCCCUCGCCGUCCGCAACAAAACCCCCAAGUUAGAUAGUCGUUCCGCCGCCGCCACCUGUAAAUGAAUUUUCUGACUGAUUCCUUCGACCUUUGAAGAAACAAACACCACCACGAUGAUCCCCACCACAAGGAGAAGAGGUUUCAACCCUCAGUUCUUCUCCGGCGACUUCGCCGCCGUUCGUCGGUGGACGGUGGUGGUGAUGGUGGUGGGUGAGUUUUGGGUGAUGGUGGUGGAGUGAAGAGAGGUUGG
rnacentral:lncRNA from 1 species